GGGGAUUUGGCUCAGUGGUAGAGCGCUUGCCUAGGAAGCGCAAGGUCCUGGGUUCAAUCCCCAGCCCCCG
rnacentral:tRNA from 1 species